rnacentral:rRNA from 1 species
GACGAACGCUGGCGGCGUGCUUAACACAUGCAAGUCGAACGGUGAAGGGGUCUGCUUUUGUGGGCCCUGGAUGAGUGGCGAACGGGUGAGUAACACGUGAGUAACCUGCCCCCUUCUUCUGGAUAACCGCAUGAAAGUGUGGCUAAUACGGGAUAUUCUGGGUCUGUCGCAUGAUGGGUCUGGGAAAGAUUGCGCCUUUGGGUGUUUUUGGUGGGGGAUGGGCUCGCGGCCUAUCAGCUUGUUGGUGGGGUGAUGGCCUACCAAGGCGGUGACGGGUAGCCGGCCUGAGAGGGUGGACGGUCACACUGGGACUGAGACACGGCCCAGACUCCUACGGGAGGCAGCAGUGGGGAAGAUUGCACAAUGGGCGCAAGCCUGAUGCAGCGACGCCGCGUGAGGGAUGGAGGCCUUCGGGGUGUAAACCUCUUUCGCCAGUGAAGCAGGCCUGCUCCUUGUGGGUGGGUUGACGGUAGCUGGAUAAGAAGCGCCGGCUAACUACGUG